CAAGUAUAUAAUGUACUGUGUUCAGGUAUAUAAUGUACUGUGUUCAGGUAUAUAAUGUACAUGUACAGUGUUCAGGUAUAUAAUGUACAGUGUACAGGUAUAUAAUGUACUGUGUUCAGGUAUAUAAUGUACUGUGUUCGGGUAUAUAAUGUAGUGUUCAGGUAUAUAAUGCACAUGUGUAGUGUUCGGGUAUAUAAUGUACAGUGUUCAGGUAUAUAAUGUACAUGUGUAGUGUUCAGGUAUAUAAUGUACAGUGUUCAGGUAUAUAAUGUACAAUAUAC